AUGGGAACGCGAAGAACCUUACCUACUCUUGACAUCCAGAGAACUUUCCAGAGAUGGAUUGGUGCCUUCGGGAACUCUGAGACAGGUGCUGCAUGGCUGUCGUCAGCUCGUGUUGUGAAUGUUGGGUUAAGUCCCGCAACGAGCGCAACCCUUAUCCUUUGUUGCCAGCGGUUAGGCCGGGAACUCAAAGGAGACUGCCAGUGAUAAACUGGAGGAAGGUGGGGAUGAUGUCAAGUCAUCAUGGCCCUUACGAGUAGGGCUACACACGUGCUACAAUGGCGCAUACAAAGAGAAGCGACCUCGCGAGAGCAAGCGGACCUCAUAAAGUGCGUCGUAGUCCGGAUUGGAGUCUGCAACUCGACUCCAUGAAGUCGGAAUCGCUAGUAAUCGUAGAUCAGAAUGCUACGGUGAAUACGUUCCCGGGUCUUGUACACACCGAGUCGUGGGGAGGG
rnacentral:rRNA from 1 species